CAGCAGCCACGGGAAAACGGAGGGGGCUAGCGUUGUUCGGAAUUACUGGGCGUAAAGCGCACGUAGGCGGCUUGGUAAGUUAGAGGUGAAAGCCUGGAGCUCAACUCCAGAAUUGCCUUUAAGACUGCCGAGCUAGCAGGUGAGAGAGGUAAGUGGAAUUCCGAGUGUAGAGGUGAAAUUCGUAGAUAUUCGGAAGAACACCAGUGGCGAAGGCGGCUUACUGGCUCAUACUGGACGCUGAGGUGCGAAAGCGUGGGGAGCAAACAGGAUUAGAGACCCCCGUAGUCCCUGUCUCUUAUAC
rnacentral:rRNA from 1 species